rnacentral:misc_RNA from 1 species
AUGGCUAUCAGAUGACAUUUCCUUCCUCAUUGUCCUCUAAAUGAAACACUGUAUCUACAUUCACAUUUAAUAUAAAUUUCUUUCAUAAAUUUUACAACCCAAGAGCUCCAAGAGGGGUCUUUCCCUGACCAGCCUCAAAGUAGAAAAUUAACAUGGCAACCAUGGCAAGCCUAGCAUGCUUAAUCUCUGCAACUUUGAGUCUAUCAAGCUUUUCCACAUCAGGAAUGUAAACUCCAUUCUUUAUUGUCCCUGCAAGCCCUAAUGGAUCAAAGAAUUUCCCUCCCGGGUAUCCCUGUUCUCCAGUGGCAUUAGCAAAGUUCUCUGCAGUCCUUGACCAUGGAGUUGCCCAUUCCACCGACUGUGAAUCGGGGUUGAAGAAAUCCACCCAUCUCUUGCUCUCCACCCAUCCCAUGAGCAGAAGCUGAGUUCCUAGGAGAGAGCCAAACGAGAAGGGUGCAAUGGCACCAGGAUCAGCACCAGCCUCAAACCAGGGGAUGCCACUCCAGGCUUGUCCUGCAAAGAUUCCCACCACGGCAGUCAUAGCCCACCGCCCAUGGAUAAGCUCUGCUUCUCUGUACCAUUUGAGGAAUGCUGGAUCCUUGCCUAAGCCUAGUGGGUCGAAUCCAUAGUCACCUGG